AGUGAACGCUGGCGGUAGGCCUAACACAUGCAAGUCGAACGGCAGCACAGUAAGAGCUUGCUCUUACGGGUGGCGAGUGGCGGACGGGUGAGGAAUACAUCGGAAUCUACUUUUUCGUGGGGGCUAACGUAGGGAAACUUACGCUAAUACCGCAUACGACCUACGGGUGAAAGCAGGGGAUCUUCGGACCUUGCGCGAUUGAAUGAGCCGAUGUCGGAUUAGCUAGUUGGCGGGGUAAAGGCCCACCAAGGCGACGAUCCGUAGCUGGUCUGAGAGGAUGAUCAGCCACCCUGGAACUGAGACACGGUCCAGACUCCUACGGGAGGCAGCAGUGGGGAAUAUUGGACAGUGGGCGCAAGCCUGAUCCAGCCAUACCGCGUGGGUGAAGAAGGCCUUCGGGUUGUAAAGCCCUUUUGUUGGGAAAGAAAAGCAGCAGGUUAAUACCCCGCUGUUCUGACGGUACCCAAAGAAUAAGCACCGGCUAACUUCGUG
rnacentral:rRNA from 1 species